rnacentral:misc_RNA from 1 species
UUAAGUUCAGCGGGUAUCCCCACCUGAUCCGAGGCCAACCUUGUAAAAAUUCGUUCCGGGCGGCCUCCGUCCGGGCGCCCAAGCGAGGGUUUUGCUACGCUUGGAGCCGGACGGCACCGCCACUGAUUUAGGGCCCGCCGGGGCGGCGGGGCCCAACACCAAGCAGAGCUUGAGGGUUGUAAUGACGCUCGAACAGGCAU